rnacentral:sRNA from 1 species
UGGAAUUCCACCACCAGCGCUUUAUUCCGAGUUUCAGUGCUGUCCUGGGUUAACCUGAAAGCAAUCUCCGAGGCUCCCCUUUCUGGCUUUCAGGGAGCCAGAGACUGACCGGACACUUGGCUCUGCAGGUGCAGACCUGGGCCAGAGAGAGAGCCAAGGAAGUCCACAGUGGAGAGAGGGCUGUGCUGGGGGUUCCAGGAAGACUUCCUGGAGGAGGGGAUCUUGGAGCUAGGCCUUGAAGACGAGUUUGUCAAAUGAGGAAGGGCAUCCGAAGCCGAGGGAACGGUACAAGGGAACGCUGGGGAGGGGAGAGAAUCUGGAGAGUUCCGGAAAAAGCAAGUAGGACUCUUUCCAGAAGUUCGGGCAAGAUUUUCCCUGGAUCAGGGCGUGGGUUCUCCAGUACUCGUCCCUCCCGGUCACCGAGAUGCUCUGAGUUUCCGGUCUGAACCUGAACUAAAGAGAUUGUGCACGCGCCGGAGCAGCGGCGCACCAGCCCCCGGCUCCGGCGCCACCAUCUUCGCGCUAAGCUCUGGCCAAGGCCGCUGCGGCAUCGCAGUGAUCCGGACCAGCGGCCCUGCCAGCGGCCACGCCCUCCGAAUUCUCACGGCACCCCGAGACCUGCCCCUUGCUCGCCACGCCAGCCUGCGCCUGCUCAGCGAUCCCCGCUCCGGGGAGCCUCUGGACCGCGCACUGGUGCUCUGGUUCCCAGGUCCCCAGAGUUUCACCGGUGAGGACUGCGUGGAGUUCCACGUUCAUGGAGGCCCGGCAGUGGUGAGCGGCGUCCUGCAGGCCUUGGGCAGCGUGCCAGGGCUUCGACCGGCGGAGGCAGGCGAGUUCACCAGACGGGCGUUCGCCAAUGGGAAGCUGAACCUGACCGAAGUGGAGGGGCUGGCGGACCUUAUCCACGCGGAAACAGAGGCGCAGCGGCGGCAGGCCCUCAGGCAGCUGGACGGAGAGCUAGGCCACCUCUGCCGUGGCUGGGCCGAGACCCUCACCAAA